CUACGGAGGGUGCAAGCGUUAUCCGGAUUUAUUGGGUUUAAAGGGUGCGUAGGCGGUUUGAUAAGUCAGCGGUGAAAUAUUUCAGCUUAACUGGAAGGGUGCCGUUGAUACUGUCGAGCUUGAAUUUAGUUGCUGUGGGUGGAAUGUGUGGUGUAGCGGGUAAAUGCAUAGAUAUCACACAGAAUAUCGAUUGCGAAGGCAGCUCACAAAGCUAAUAUUGACGCUGAUGCACGAAAGUGUGGGGAUCAAACAGGAUUAGAUACCCUGGUAGUCCACACUGUAAACGAUGAUAACUCGCUGUCGGCGAUACAUAGUCGGUGGCCAAGCGAAAGCGAUAAGUUAUCCACCUGGGGAGUACGACCGCAAGGUUGAAACUCAAAUGAAUUGACGGGG
rnacentral:rRNA from 1 species